UACGUAGGGGGGCAAGCGUUGUUCGGAUUCAUUGGGCGUAAAGGGUGCGUAGGCGGCGCGGUAAGUCGGGUGUGAAAUCUCGGAGCUUAACUCCGAAACUGCAUUCGAUACUGCCGUGCUUGAGGACUGGAGAGGAGACUGGAAUUUACGGUGUAGCGGUGAAAUGCGUAGAUAUCGAGAGGAACACCUGCGGCGAAGGCGGGUUGCUGGGCUGACACUGACGCUGGUGUGCGACGACCAGGGGAGCGAACGGG
rnacentral:rRNA from 1 species